rnacentral:ncRNA from 1 species
AGGUAGACUCGACGGAGCCAAAAUCCCGGACGAGGCGCACCGUACCCGGCCCUGCAAAGACGGUGUACG